rnacentral:rRNA from 1 species
GAUGAACGCUGGCGGCGUGCCUAAUACAUGCAAGUCGAGCGAACGGACGAGAAGCUUGCUUUUCUGAUGUUAGCGGCGGACGGGUGAGUAACACGUGGAUAACCUACCUAUAAGACUGGGAUAACUUCGGGAAACCGGAGCUAAUACCGGAUAAUAUUUUGAACCGCAUGGUUCAAAAGUGAAAGACGGUCUUGCUGUCACUUAUAGAUGGAUCCGCGCUGCAUUAGCUAGUUGGUAAGGUAACGGCUUACCAAGGCAACGAUGCAUAGCCGACCUGAGAGGGUGAUCGGUCACACUGGAACGGAGACACGGUCCAGACACCUACGGGAGGCAGCAGUAGGGAAUGUUCCGCAAUGGGCGAAAGCAUGACGGAGCAACGCCGCGUGAGUGAUGAAGGUCUUCGGAUCGUAAAACUCUGUUAUUAGGGAAGAACAUAUGUGUAAGUAACUGUGCACAUCUUGACGGUACCUAAUCAGAAAGCCACGGCUAACUACGUG